rnacentral:rRNA from 1 species
CUGACGGUACCAUACGAAUAAGGAUCGGCUAACUCCGUGCCAGCAGCCGCGGUAAUACGGAGGAUCCAAGCGUUAUCCGGAUUCAUUGGGUUUAAAGGGUCCGUAGGCGGAUUUUUAAGUCAGUGGUGAAAGCCGACAGCUCAACUGUCGAACUGCCAUUGAUACUGGACAUCUUGAGUACAAAUGAAGUAGGCGGAAUGNGUCAUGUAGCGGUGAAAUGCAUAGAUAUGACUCAGAACACCGAUUGCGAAGGCAGCUUACUAACCUGUAACUGACGCUGAGGGACGAAAGCGUGGGGAGCGAACAGGAUUAGAUACCCUGGUAGUCCACGCCGUAAACGAUCAUCACUCGCUGUUGGC